GGUUCCGUGGUGCAGUUGGUUAGCGCAUCGUACUAAUAUUUCUUCAACGAGAAAUCCAAUGCGAAAGUCGAGGGUUCGAGCCCCUCCGGGACCA
rfam:Sporothrix schenckii ATCC 58251 unplaced genomic scaffold supercont1.1, whole genome shotgun sequence.